rnacentral:rRNA from 1 species
UUUACUAUUUUGGUGGCGACCGGCGCACGGGUGAGUAACGCGUAUGUAACCUACCUUAUACAGGAGUAUAGCCCGAAGAAAUUCGGAUUAAUCCUCCAUAGUAUUUUCUAAUGGCAUCAUUUGGAAAAUUAAAGCUUCGGCGGUAUAAGAUGGGCAUGCGUCCUAUUAGCUAGAUGGUAAGGUAAUGGCUUACCAUGGCUACGAUAGGUAGGGGGCCUGAGAGGGUGAUCCCCCACACUGGUACUGAGACACGGACCAGACUCCUACGGGAGGCAGCAGUGAGGAAUAUUGGUCAAUGGGCGCAAGCCUGAACCAGCCAUGCCGCGUGCAGGAAGAAUGCCCUAUGGGUUGUAAACUGCUUUUAUUUAGGAAUAAACCCCUCUACGUGUAGAGGGCUGAAUGUACUAAACGAAUAAGCACCGGCUAACUCCGUGCCAGCAGCCGCGGUAAUACGGAGGGUGCAAGCGUUAUCCGGAAUCAUUGGGUUUAAAGGGUCCGCAGGCGGACGUAUAAGUCA